AAUUUUAAAAACAUUAAAAAAAAAUAUAAAUAUAGAGAAAGCUAAGAAAGUAAAGUGACUCUGGAAGAGUAAUAGCAAAAAGACGAGCUUUCGCUCGUUUGAGAAGAAUCGAUGGGUUUGGUCGAUUCUUCGUUUGGAGGAGUUGGUUUGAUUGAUUCAUUGGAUCUAAUUUUGGAUUGUAUUAUAAUCAAUUUGAUUUUGAUUUAGAUUAGAUCUACUACUAUUAACCGGACUUUAAUACUGGAUGAAGGGAGUUUCGUUGUCCCGAUAUACAUCCUCGACUUAUCAACUACAUAGACUUGAUUUUGGUGAUUUCGUUAUUGGAUUAUUGGAUUAAUUGGCCGUUUGGUACGGAAAAAUUAAAAAAAAAAUAUAUGGUUGACGAUUAAAAUGGUUCUUCUGUUCACAA